GGGGAUUUAGCUCAGCGGCAUAAGUGCCUGCCUUGCAAGCAGGCAGUCGUUCGAUCCCCA
rfam:Cavia porcellus supercont2_81 genomic scaffold, whole genome shotgun sequence.